CGCUAUCACUCCUACGGGGAGGCAGCAGUGGGGAAUAUUGCACAAUGGGGGAAACCCUGAUGCAGCCAUGCCGCGUGUGUGAAGAAGGCCUUCGGGUUGUAAAGCACUUUCAGUAGGGAGGAAGGUAGUGUAGUUAACACCUGCACUAUUUGACGUUACCUACAGAAGAAGCACCGGCUAACUCCGUGCCAGCAGCCGCGGUAAUACGGAGGGUGCGAGCGUUAAUCGGAAUUACUGGGCGUAAAGCGCAUGCAGGCGGCCUGUUAAGUCAGAUGUGAAAGCCCGGGGCUUAACCUCGGAAUUGCAUUUGUAAACUGGCAGGCUAGAGUCUUGUAGAGGGGGGUAGGAAUUUCAGGUGUAGCGGUGAAAAUGCGUAGAGAUCUGAAGGAAUACCAGUGGCGAAGGCGGCCCCCUGGACAAAGACUGACGCUCAGAUGCGAAAGCGUGGGGAGCAAACAGGAUUAGAUACCCUGGUAG
rnacentral:rRNA from 1 species